UACGUAGGGUGCGAGCGUUAAUCGGAAUUACUGGGCGUAAAGCGUGCGCAGGCGGUUUUGUAAGCCAGAUGUGAAAUCCCCGGGCUCAACCUGGGAAUGGCAUUUGGGACUGCAAGGCUGGAGUACGGCAGAGGAGACUGGAAUUCCUGGUGUAGCAGUGAAAUGCGUAGAUAUCAGGAGGAAUACCGAUGGCGAAGGCAGGUCUCUGGGCUGAUACUGACGCUCAUGCACGAAAGCGUGGGGAGCAAACGAGG
rnacentral:rRNA from 1 species